UGUUGUAGAUGGCUUGUUAGCAGGCUCAGCUGGUGGCAGGGACGAUGCCCAGACACCUAGUAGGCGACCUGUUCCUGCGUCUCGGGGGCUGGGCUACCUCAGCUCUCUGCCACCAGAGGGAAAGGAGAUCAGACUGAACAAGUGGGGAAUAGGAGAGACUGAACAGCUACCGCUGCCUGAGGCCCCUGCAACAGCAACAAACCAAGUGCUGAAAUUGUAUAAAAUAGCAUCUGAAGAACCAAGACACAAGAUAGGAAUGUGUUGGUGGAUACCUUCUCUUUAAAUCUUUGGCCUUCAAAAAUGUUCAAGCAAAGUGAACUGGGACAAGUGACCUAGAGGAGAAGAGGAAACGCAGCCUCAUCAAGCUGCUGGAUGACAGCUGAUAUUGUCCUCUUGCAGAGGGACCUAGAGAAGCUGAAGGAAUGUGCCGACAGAGACCUUACGGAAUUCAAGAAGAACAAUUGCGAAGUCCUGUAUCCAGUAUGGACUAACCCCUUGUAAUUAUAAAGCCUCAGAAUUGACUACACAGGUAGAAGUUUUGCUGAAAAGAACCUGAAAGUCAUGUGGUACUGGUGGACAGAAGGCUGAACAGGAAUCAGGAUUACACUCCAUCAAAAAAGAAGAUAUGAUGACUGAAACCAACAAGAGUGUAGCCAUUUAAUAGAGGGAAGUGAUUAUUCCCCCUUACUGAGCACUUGCUUGGCCACAUCUGAAAUACUGCACCCAUAUUUGUCCUGUGUUUCCCUACACCAUCCCUGAACUCCCACCCUCCCCCUCCCAAACCAGGAAGAUUGUUAUAAACUUGAAGAAGUCUAUUUGAAGGCCACUGAUACAGUCACAGAGAUGAGACCCAUGAGGGCUAUGAGGAGAGGCUGAGAAAACAUGGUGUAUUUCAUCUGGAGAAAAGAAUCUGGGUGUGGUGAUGGGGAGACCUAAUAUCUUUUGAUAUCUGCAAGCUAUUCAGAGGAUAUUACUAAGCCUUUACAGGGGUGCAUGGAUGAAAAAUGAGCAACUAUGAUCAUAAAUGGAAAGAAGUAAGGUGUCAGUUGGACAUAAUGAGAAAAAAAUAAUUGAUCAAAUUAAAUCAAUUGAUCAAUUUAAAUCAAUUAAAUCAAUUACAAAUUAAUAAAUUAACAAUUAAUCUCUGGUACUGUUACCCAUGAAGGCUGUGGAAUAUCUGUUCUUGGAGGAUUUCAGGAUCCAAUUAGACAAAGUCCUAAGCAACCUCAUCUGAAUUCAGUAUUGAUUAUUACUUUGAGAAGGUUGGAUUAUGUGAUCUGAGUCCCUUCCAAUCUGAAUGAUUCUGGUAUUAUGUUUGCAACACACAAAUGAAACAUGCAAAAUCAUUACCUGUAAGCAGAAAUAUCCAAUCAGUCUAUGUUAAUGUGAAGGAUGGCAAUGGGAACCAAACUCUGUAAAAGAAGCUAUUUCAACAAUUUUCUGACAUAUUGUGUCAGAAUUCUUGAAUCAAACUUUCACUUUAAAGUCUUCCAGACCUGUUCUGCUUCUUUUCGAUUUUUGAAGGAGAGGAUCAAUCCUGGAAUAGAAGGUGGAACUGUACAUUUGCUGGAUGCAUAGCUGUAGCCAGAGAGUCAACUCAAAAUCUUUUCACUCACAGAAAUGAAAGAAAGGGAAAAAUCUAGUCCCAGGCUGGGAAAGAAAAGGAGAUCACUCUUUUUUCUUCUGUAGCUGAGUCAUUCUAUAUUCUAUGGAAAUUAAAGCAUUUGGACAAAGUA